CCUACGGGAGGCAGCAGUGAGGAAUAUUGGUCAAUGGUCGGGAGACUGAACCAGCCAAGCCGCGUGAGGGAUGAAGGUACAGAGUAUCGUAAACCUCUUUUGUCAGGGAACAAAGGCGGGGACGCGUCCCCGGAUGAGUGUACCUGAAGAAAAAGCAUCGGCAACCUCCGUGCCAGCAGCCGCGGUAAUACGGGGGAUGAGAGCGUUAGCCGGAUUUAGGGGGUUAAAGGGGGGCGCAGGCGGUCUGUUAAGUCAGCGGUCAAAGCCCGGGGCUCAACCCCGGCCCGCCGUUGAAACUGGCAGUCUGGAGUUGGAGAGAAGUACGCGGAAUGCGCGGUGUAGCGGUGAAAUGCAUAGAUAUCGCGCAGAACUCCGAUUGCGAAGGCAGCAUGCCGGCUCCACACUGACGCUGAGGCACGAAAGCGUGGGUAUCGAACAGGAUUAGAUACCCGAGUAGUC
rnacentral:rRNA from 1 species